GCGUUAAUCGGAAUUACUGGGCGUAAAGCGCAUGCAGGUGGUUUGUUAAGUCAGAUGUGAAAGCCCGGGGCUCAACCUCGGAAUUGCAUUUGAAACUGGCAGACUAGAGUACUGUAGAGGGGGGGUAGAAUUUCAGGUGUAGCGGUGAAAUGCGUAGAGAUCUGAAGGAAUACCGGUGGCGAAGGCGGCCCCCUGGACAGAUACUGACACUCAGAUGCGAAAGCGUGGGGAGCAAACAGGAUUAGA
rnacentral:rRNA from 1 species